rnacentral:rRNA from 1 species
CCUACGGGUGGCAGCAGUGAGGAAUAUUGGUCAAUGGGCGCAAGCCUGAACCAGCCAAGUAGCGUGCAGGAUGACUGCCCUACGGGUUGUAAACUGCUUUUAUACGGGAAUAAAGUGAGUUACGUGUGGCUCUUUGCAUGUACCGUAUGAAUAAGGAUCGGCUAACUCCGUGCCAGCAGCCGCGGUAAUACGGAGGAUCCGGGCGUUAUCCGGAUUUAUUGGGUUUAAAGGGAGCGUAGGCGGGUUGUUAAGUUAGUUGUGAAAUUUCGCGGCUCAACCGUAGCAUUGCAGUUGAUACUGGCAGGCUUGAGUACAGUGAAGGCAGGCGGAAUGCGUGGUGUAGCGGUGAAAUGCUUAGAUAUGACGAAGAACUCCGAUUGCGAAGGCAGCUUGCUAAACUGCCACUGACGUUGAUGCUCGAAAGUGUGGGUAUCAAACAGGAUUAGAUACCCUGGUAGUC